UUAUGGCCAUAUCACGUUGAAACGCCGGUUCUCGUACGGUCACCAAAGUUAAGCAAAGUCAAGCAUGGUUAGUAACUAGAUGGGUCACCACUUGGGAAUAGUGGGU